rnacentral:rRNA from 1 species
UACGUAGGGUGCAAGCGUUGUCCGGAAUUAUUGGGCGUAAAGAGCUCGUAGGCGGUUUGUUGCGUCGGCUGUGAAAUCCCGAGGCUCAACCUCGGGUCUGCAGUCGAUACGAGCAAACUAGAGUGUUGCAGGGGAGACUGGAAUUCCUGGUGUAGCGGUGAAAUGCGCAGAUAUCAGGAAGAACACCCGUGGCUAAGGCGGUUCUCUAGUACGGUACUGACGCUGAGACGCGAAAGCGUGGGGAGCGAACAGG